UGAAAAGCUGUUGACAGUUGGUGGUAGCUUCUAGAGAAGGAAGAGUCAGUUUUUCUUAUGGUGAUGAUGUAACGAACCUUUCCCAGCCUCCACGUUGAGAUCAGGUGUGAAGAUUGCAAGCCUUGUGUGCUAAGGUGUUUCCAUCUGUAGCUGUGGCUCUAACUGCAGAUCGUAGGAACAGAGCCAGGAUGGUGGUCCCAGAGUCUCAUCAUUUGAGGGCAGAGAAAAGACGAGUGAUGGGUAUAGCUUCCGUGUCCUUUUUGGAGGGACCCUCCCUGCGACUAUGAGGAUCAAUAUGGAACACACCAACAAACUGCCACCUCUGCUUCCCAGGAUCAAGAGGGGAAAGACCAGAGUUGCAACAUGUCAGUCUCUAGUUCCUCUAAGUGAAGGAACACAACACAUUUCACUCUUCCUUGGACAUGAAUCUGUUCCUGACAGUGUUGUGGUACCAUAUAUAGGAUAACAGUGGAGGUCCAUUCAUCCUCAUGUGGAGUCUCACUGGAAGACAGUUUCCAGUGCCUGGUGUCAGUGAUCCACUGAGCCCCCCUUUACUCCUCUGCCUCUCAGGCUUCAUCAACAACUCUCUAAGAUUGGUGCUAAUAUGAUUUUCUCACUGGAUGGGGUUGGGAGCUGUCUGUCCAAUUUCGAAGUUUUUUUGUUUUGUUUUGUUUUUUUUUGGUUUUUCGAGACAGGGUUUCUCUGCGUAACUUUGCGCCUUUCCUGGAGCUCACUUGGUAGCCCAGGCUGGCCUCGAACUCACAGAGAUCCGCCUGGCUCUGCCUCCCGAGUGCUGGGAUUAAAGGCAUGCGCCACCACCGCCCGGCCCAAUUUCGAAGUUUUAUCCCAGUGAUUUUACAACUGGGUGAGGGCUCCUGCCUACUUGGCACCUUUCACUUGUUUUUUUGUUUUGCUUUAUAAGAAACUCCAGAAAAUGGCAAAGAUACAAACUAUGGACAGAGGUGCACCGAUCUUCAGGAUGAGAUCUGUGCAUACAGACAUGUGCCCUAUACUUGAACCUACCUAUCUUCCCUGUUUGUGAGUAACUAUCACAGCCUGUUCUUAAGUAGUUCAAUGUUAGAAAUAUAGGGACAGGGCACAUUCCACGAGAAACCAUGGUAGUAGAUCAGUCAUUUUAUUAACAAUUAUAUACACAAUGUUAGGGCAAAACAUGUACAGUAAGACUGAUCACUACAAGGCUUUACAUCUGCAUUGUAAGAGAUCCAUAGAAAUCAGGUUAUAAUUCUGGCUUCUUGUAGAUAGGCUCCUGUGAGGGUUUAAGGAAACCUAGGAACCCAUGUCUAGUCUUUGAACAUGCCAACAAACAUACCUCUAGAGGGAGGAAGUCCUGGGAUUUCCAUUACACAUUUUUAUUAAAGUUGUGUCUGUAUUCCUGGGUCAUAACAUUCUUAGUCCAGUGGGUUCCAUGAUGUUUCUAAUCAGGUCAGGUUGAGGGCCUAAGUCACCAAGAGAGGGUGGGGAACCUGAGAUAUCAGGACAUGUGUGUUUGGACCACAGUCUGGACAUUUGUGAGGGUGAUGUCACGUACCAGAACACCAGCCCUGAUCCUUGUGGUGAUUCCAGGUGCUUCUGAGGCUGUAGUGUUGGCCAACUCAUACAAGAUCACUUGUCCUGGAGCUAUUGAAGACAUUUGGGCAUAUAAUAGCACCUGGGUGCAGCCCGCAUACCUAUCAUGCCAAAUCUGCCCAAGUUGUUUCUCUGGUGUGUCCCAUACAUGAUGAAGACCAUGUUUUGGGGUCAUGGGUCUUUGUGGUGAGCAUCUUUCCUGCAUUUCAUGAAGAGAGUAUGUGGCCCAUAACCCUUGAAUUUAAAUUUGACCCUGGCUUCUUGGUGGAAAGGGAGCCAAGUUCAUAUUGCAAUUGAUUCCAGUCAGUCAUCAGCUUAGGAAGGCUUCUUUAUGUAUUUAAGAUGUUUGGUGAACAGAGUCAAGCCUGAUAAAAAAAAUCAGGUGAAGUCACUAGAGGGCCAUGUGCCAUGGAAAUAUUCUUGACGUUAAGGCAUGACCAUGUUUCCAGUCAUUAACCAGAGUAGGUCCUUCUCCUAUUUACAGCCAUGGUUUGUGGUCCUGGCUCCCUUAGUGUGAGCAAGUACAGGGUCAUGUGAAGAAAGGGUGUGGCCUACACACCUUUGAAUUUAUGCUGGACCCAGGGUACUGGUAAUCAGGGAGCUGGCAGGGCCCCAUUGAUGUCACUUUCUAGCCUUUGCCCUUGUUAAUUCCUCAGACCACCACCUCAUGGCGUCACAGUGUGUAGAACCUUAGUGAAGGAGUGUAUGUCCUGGGUCAGACCCAAGGUCAAAUUGUUGUUCUUGACCUGGACACAGAGGGUUUCCUGGGUGCGGCUUACACAUCCUUCAUCCCAGGCUAUUAUCCCUGUCAUUUGACAUCAUGUGUGGUGCAGGUUACUUGAAAGCCAUGGCAUUGCCUUGACACAUGUGUUGUGAGAUAGUUGCCUGUGUUGGGAGAAUCACAGGUACAGCCCACAAACAAGAGUGGAACCAAGAGGAGCUUCCAGAUCAACUCCAUAGUGACUGGAAUUCAUGGCCUAUGAUCUAAUGUCACUCUCUGGUGAGGAUUCCAAUUGUCUUGGUGAUCUUGGCAUGGCCUGGGUAACAAAUGAGGCUAUGGUUUGUCCAACAAAAUAUAUUGAUGUAAAGAUAAUGCUUGGUUUCAGAACAGGUCAUGGUUAUUGGGGUAUCCAUUUCCUUUGAUCAUUAAGGUGAGGUUUGGUCCCUUCAGGGCCUGGCCCCUUUUUGGUAGCAUUUUGUCCUGGGAUGCAUAGAGAGAGGGUGUGGCCCACACACCCUUGAAGAUAUGAUGUCAGGCUACUUGGGGUUUAAGGAGCUGCCAGGUUUCCUUUAAGAUUCUUUUGUGGUUUUGCCCCUGGUCAUAAGUUGUUAGGUCAUCAUCAAGAUUUGAAUCUUGGAGGAUAUAAUCUGUCCUGAUGUCAGUUAUUUAGAAUAAGCCCAAAUCUGGGUUAGUCCUAGAUUCUUGGAGAACAGGCUGUAGCCUGAGUUACAGUUUGAACACUGUUUGUUCCUAAAGAAAUCAGUUUAAUCCAGAUUAGUUGUGUCUCAGACAGCUAAAGGGUACAUUAUGACAUCCUUUAUGGUAGGAUAUGUCUACAUAGUUAGGUCAUUUCAAUGAGGCCUUGGCACAUUAUGAAGAUGGUGUCAUCCUUGCUCACAUGUGUUCAUGUGGUCUGCAUUGAAUGAAGUAUGUAUAUGUGAUCCAUAUACCUAUUACUCAGAAUGUCAGCUUACAUUAGUGGUCACUUAGGGAGUAUUGCAGUUGGGUCAUAGAUUAUGGAUCAACAAGCUGGGAUGAGUCUGCAUUGAAGUCUUGAUUGGUUUUAAAACUCAAAGUAAGGCUUUGGAUCCAAGUGCCUCUUGGUCCACAGUCUAAACACAAUGUUGAAACACUAGUUUUGUCUUGGGCACUCUUCUUUGUUUGGGCCCAGGGCUCUUGGGUGAGAGUGAAUCUGGCUAAUUGUACAGUAGCAUUUUGUUAUGGACUUCCUGAGUGUCAGGGUUUGGCCCAGGAACAAUCCUUUUCCUGGUUUAUCCUGGACCCAUUUCAAGUCUCAUUUUGGACCCUGGCAUCUUGAGUAUUGGAGUAAGCCCCAGGCCAGGGCUCUUUUUGUUCUAGGACCCCGAUAUUUCAGGUUCUGAUAUAUCCUGACACACUCCUUUUUGUUUGGUUUGUCCUGGCCCUGUCUCAUUCUCUAUUUUCCCACAUGUCUUUGUGCUUUGGGCCCAGGCUCGUUCAGGGUCAGGGAUAGGCCCAGGCCCACAUCUCUUCUUUUUUGGGCCCAUGCCUUUCAAAGUUCAAGAAUAGGCCUAUACCUCAUCUCUUCUUGCUUUGAGUCCAGGACUCUGCAGUGUUAGGGAUAGACUCAGGUCCACCAUCUCUCCAUUUUCUUUGGGCCCAAGCCUCCUCAGGGUUAGGGAUUUGCCCAAGCUCACAUCUCUACAUGUUUGAGCCCAGGCCUCUUCACAGAUAUGCCCACUCCCAUGUCUCUCUUUUAUUCAGGCCCAGGCUUCUUCAGGGUUAGUGAAUGAUACAGGCCCACAUCUCUUAUUCUUUUGAUCUGAGACUCUAGUUUUAGGGAUAGGCACAGGCCUACAUCUUUUCUUCUUAGGACCAAGGCCUCUUCAGUGUUAGAAAUACGCCUAGGCCCACAUCUCUCCUUUCUGUGAGCCCAAGCCCCUUCAGAUAAGGUAUGGACCAGGUCUACAUUUCUUCUUAGAGCCCAGGCUUCUUCAGUGUCUCAUAUAGGCCCAGGCCCACAUCCCUUCUUUGGGCCCAAGUAUCUUCAGGGUCAGGAAUGACCUAGGUCCACAUUUCUUCUUGUUUGGCCUGUGGGCUCUUUAGGAUCUGGGAUAGGCCCAGUCCCACAUCUUGUUUUGGCCUGGGCCUCUGGGUUUAGGGAUAGGACCAGACCCACAUCUCUCUUUUUCUUCCAGCCCAGUUUAUUUCAUUUUUAGGGACUGGCCCAGGUCCAUAUAUCUCUUUGUUUUGGCCCGGGACUCUUCAGGAUCAAGGAUAUGCCGAGGCCCAUAUCCCUUGUUUGGGCCCAGGCCUCUUCAGGGUAAGGGGCCAGCCCAGGCCCCCAUCUCUUUCCUGGGGCCUGGGCUAUGCAGGGUUAUGGAAUGGCUGAGGCCCACAUUACUUCUCUGUUGUGUUAAGGCCUCUUCAGUCCUAGGCUGACAUCUAGUCUUCAUUGGCUCCAGGACUUCUCAGGGUAAGGAACUGGCCCAGGCCCAUAUCUCUUCUUUUUCUGGUGUGGGCCUCUUCAGGGUUAGUGGCAGGCUCAGGCCCACAUCUCUUCCUUCUUAGGGCCCAGGCCUUUUCAUGGUUAGGGAUUGUUCCCAGGGUCCUAUCUCUUCAGGGUAAGGGAUUGGCCCAGGCCCACAUCUCUUCCUUCUUAGGGCCCAGGCCUUUUCAUGGUUAGGGAUUGUUCCCAGGGUCCUAUCUCUUCAGGGUAAGGGAUUGGCCCAAGCCCACAUCUCUUCUUUAUUUGGGCCCAGGCCUCUUCAGGAUAAAUGUUAUGCCUGGGACCACAUUCGUUCUUCAUUGGGCCCAGGCCUCUUCAGGGUAAGGGAUUGGCCCAGGCCCACAUCUCUUCUUUAUUUGGGCCUAGGCCUCUUCAGGAUAAAUGUUAGGCCCAGGCCCACAUCUCUCCUUAAUUGGGCCCAGGCCUCUUCAGGGUAAGGUUUAGGCCCAGGCCCACAUCUCUUCUUCAUUGGACCCAGUCCUCUUCAAGAUAAUGGUUAGGCAGGCCCACAUCUCUCCUUCAUUGGGCCCAGCCCUCUUCAGGGUAAGAUAUAGGCCGGUGCCCACAUCUCUUCUCUGGACCUAUGCCUCUUCAUGUUUACAUAAUGGCCCAGGCCCACAUGCCUUCUUGUUUUGUCCUGAGCCUCUGUGUGGUUCUGGAUAGGCCCAGGCCCACAUCUCUUCUUUUAAUGUUCCUGGGGCUCUUUGCCUCUUCAGUUUCAGGGAUAGGCUCAGGCCCACAUCUCUUCUUGUUUAGAAUGGUGAAUCUUCAGAUGAGGUAAUUAACCUCUGCCACGUGUCUUCUCCAUUUGGGUUGGGGCUUUAUCAGGUCAGGGAGUGGUCCAGGUCCAGUCCUCCUCUUUUUUGGCCUGGGCCUCUUCAGAAUGAGGAAUUGGCCCAGGCCCACAUCUCUUCUUAUUUUAGGCAUGGGCUUCUUCAUUGUUAGGGAUUGUCUCAGUACCACAUUGCUUUUUGUAUUGUGCCUGGCCUUUCAGGGUCAGGUUUUAGCCCGGGCACACACUUUUCUUGAAUUUCCCAGGGCAUCUAUCAUUGAGCCACUGGGAUAUGCUUACAUAUCUUCUCACUUUGGGUAUGACCAGCCUCAGGGUAAACAUACCAGUUUCUUUACAGUUAAACUAGUGAAUCAUUUUGAGUUCUUGUAGGUCAAAAGAUACUUUUACAUUAGUGUUCAUAUGUGGUCAGCAUUUCUGAAAAGAAAAAGAGAACCAUCAAAACAAUAGACAUGGAUAGUUUGUAGAGGAAAAUAAUGGUGCUCUUUCCUGGCAUGUCAUUGGAAACAUGCACAGACACAGGCAUCUGUUCCCCACUUUCAAGAUGAUAAAAUUAUACAUUAUACCAAUAGAAUGAUGGAAAGUGUAGUAAAAAGACAGCUGGGAAGGCCUUUCUUGUCGCACCCAGCUGUCCUUUGAGCUGGUACUUAGGGGAAGUAUCCAAGGGCUCCUUUUAUGACCAUUUAGUGAGAAAAAGCUCAGAUCCAGUCCUCCUCCUCCUCCUCUAGGGAACUUCACUCUGGGAAGAGCAAUCCCAGUGGGGAUGAGUCAUACUCAGCCCCAAUGUGCCAAGUGUAAUUCAUGGACUAUCAUUUCUGAUGCUCAGGUUAUCAGCAAGUUUGUAUAAACAUCUGAAUUGUAGUGUGUCAUCUGCUGGAUCCUGGGUGCCAAGCUGAUGGUUCAAUUUGUCCUGCAACCUGUCCCUUCACCACCAUUAACACAGCUGGAAGGAGGGGUUCCCAAAAAGCAGGAUGUCAUGACGUUCCCCAACCCAGCCCUGUCAUGGCAGUCAAAGACUUCUGAGGAUGUCACUCACCGGAGAACAGAGUAGCAACAGAGCUUCCUCAUGUGGAAGUUUGGAAGCAGGAGUCCUGAGAGGACAGGUGUGGCUCUGCCUCAGCUGUUGUCACAUUUUCUCACAAAUCCAUGUGGAAAUUAGUAGAAGUAAACAACUGGCAGGAUCCCCUCACACAUGCACAUGUAUGUAGAGAUUCACCCACAGAUAGAGUAACACAAGGUUCAUAAAUAAAAUACAGUCUAUAAAGUCGA